UACGUAGGAGCCAAGCGUUGUCCGGAUUGACUGGGCGUAAAGCGCACGCAGGCGGACGCGCGCGUGGGGUGUGAAAUCUGGCCGCUUAACGGCCAGGCGCCAUCCCAUACGGCGCGUCUGGAGUGAUGCAGAGGUCGGUGGAAUUGCCGGUGUAGUGGUGAAAUGCGUAGAGAUCGGCAGGAACACCCAGGGGGAAACCAGCCGACUGGGCAUCUACUGACGCUGAGGUGCGAGAGCGUGGGGAGCGAACCGG
rnacentral:rRNA from 1 species